GUCAUCAGAAUCAUCCGAGUCCGAGUGUAUUGAUUACACCACCAUCAUUGCGCAGAACUUAAAGUGUGAUUCUGCAACCCAGGAUGAUGUCAUUGCUCCGCUGGGGCGGCACAUCACAAAAGACUCUUUAAGAUCAACAGUCAGAGAAUUCAUAAAAUCAUUUAUGAAAAAAUCUGUUGCUGAAACAUUUUCAUGGAGUGGCCUUGGUUAUGAAAGACGACAUAUUAAGCUGGCAUUCCGCGAUCAUAACAGUGCUAACAAGUAAGUGGUAUUGAAUCGUAAGUUAGGACACAUCACUAAAGCAAUAGUGCUCUGACUUUAUUUUCAUGAAAAGUCUUGUCACGUGUAUCGGAAGGUCACGAUACGACGUGGUUUAGUUUGGGAUUCUGACUUGGAAGUCCUCUUAACAAACACACUAGCGCCUUGAUCAGAUGGCACACAACGUUUUAUUCUUAACACACACAAUCUUAUUCAAAUAGAAUGUUAAUGGUUUAGUUUGGGAUUCUGACUUGGAAGUCCUCUUAACAAACACACUAGCGCCUUGAUCAGAUGGCACACAACGUUUUAUUCUUAACACACACAAUCUUAUUCAAAUAGAAUGUUAAUAUUAAUACAAACACCUUUCUAGAAACGUCGACACAUAACAAUAAACUGUAAGCCAUAUAGCAUCAUGACUACUAAACUCCAAACACUUGCGAUACUUUAGUUUUGAACCAAAUGGGACGACUAUUUAUAUGCGAGAUACAAUGGCUAGCGCACGAAGUGUUAAACUCCAUGACCGCUCGUUAUCAAGCAUACAAUAGACGUUUCCAUACGCAAAUUAUCUGGGGCGUAAGUUGCUCCGAUAAAACAAAAGAAUUAGGGCGAGAGGCUAUACAGUAAAACAAAAGGCCGCGUGAUUAAUCCGCAGGAUAACCACGUUAGCGGUCCAGACGAACCAAUUCCCAGGAUAUCGCUUUGAUUGAUACAAAGCAUUUGUGACAGGUCUCAUGAAACUCAGUGUUGCCGUUUAAAAAUAUAAUUUUUUGGGGGGAAUAAUUUUUUUUGUAAGAGUAUAAAACCAUACAAGUCAAAAUAAAAAGUAAACAACCUGUUUUAAAUGUAAAUUUAACACGGUUCAACACUGUGAUUUAUGAAGCUUGCUAGUGUGGUGCGAGGUUAACGACCCAAUUUGUCUUUGUUGUCUUUGUCAAAGCUUGGUCCGGUACAAUGUUUUUUUCCUAUUUUACUGAUAGCACGACUCGUAUAUUUACGUCAAUCAAAAGCUUGGAUGGGACUCGUUUAUCAAUUUUUGUUUUUCAUUUUAUUACACAAGUCGAUAGAUAGGGGAUGCGACGGCGCGUAUAAGUUUGGUUGGAGACCCCAGAAGGACAAUAAACAGUGACACUUUUAUGUUUCCCGCUGCCAUUUUUGUAAAUACAUUCGCUCGUUAUUAUCAUACUGUGUGUUUUUUUGAAUGGAAUACGACAGGGUUGGUGGGCUUUCAUUCAAUUAUGCUCGCGUAUCAUCGGCUGCCUGUAUUGGUCCACAGUCGGCGCGCCAGCUUUGGCCGGUCAUGGAAUAAGUCUAUUUUAGCGUCAAAAUAGGGGGAUAAAUGUUUGGUGCAUGUUCCUUCCGCAGUUAUGGACCAACCAUGCGAUUGUUAUAAAACGAUCGAGGCUCGAGGAAAAAUUUCUAACCGGGAUGUUGAUGUAUUUUCUGUAACUAAUUCAGAUCUCUACGUUAGAAAAAAUUACAUAGGUAUAUUAAAACUGAUUUUACUGAAAGAAAAAACUGUUUUUACUUUGAAGAUAUAAGAAUUCAACCAACUACUGAAUUGCUCAAAAUGUAAGUUCCGAUAUUUUUUAGGUUUCCUUCACCAAGUUUGUUU